CUUGUCGGGUAAGUUCCGACCUGCACGAAUGGCGUAAUGAUGGCCAGGCUGUCUCCACCCGAGACUCAGUGAAAUUGAACUCGCUGUGAAGAUGCAGUGUACCCGCGGCAAGACGGAAAGACCCCGUGAACCUUUACUACAGCUUGACACUGAACAUUGAGCCUUGAUGUGUAGGAUAGGUGGGAGGCUUUGAAGCGUGGACGCCAGUCUGCGUGGAGCCAACCUUGAAAUACCACCCUUUAAUGUUUGAUGUUCUAACCUGGCGCCGUAAUCCGGCGUGGGGACAGUGUCUGGUGGGUAGUUUGACUGGGGCGGUCUCCUCCCAAAGUGUAACGGAGGAGCACGAAGGUCAGCUAAUCCUGGUCGGACAUCAGGAGGUUAGUGCAAUGGCAUAAGCUGGCUUGACUGCGAGAGUGACGGCUCGAGCAGGUGCGAAAGCAGGUCAUAGUGAUCCGGUGGUUCUGUAUGGAAGGGCCAUCGCUCAACGGAUAAAAGGUACUCCGGGGAUAACAGGCUGAUACCGCCCAAGAGUUCAUAUCGACGGCGGUGUUUGGCACCUCGAUGUCGGCUCAUCACAUCCUGGGGCUGAAGUAGGUCCCAAGGGUAUGGCUGUUCGCCAUUUAAAGUGGUACGCGAGCUGGGUUUAGAACGUCGUGAGACAGUUCGGUCCCUAUCUGCCGUGGGCGCUGGAGAAUUGAGGGGGGCUGCUCCCAGUACGAGAGGACCGGAGUGGACGCAUCACUGGUGUUCGGGUUGUCAUGCCAAUGGCACUGCCCGGUAGCUAAAUGCGGAAGAGAUAAGUGCUGAAAGCAUCUAAGCACGAAACUUGCCCCGAGAUGAGUUCUCCCUGAGACUUUAAGUCUCCUGAAGGAACGUUGAAGACGACGACGUUGAUAGGCCGGGUGUGUAAGCGCAGCGAUGCGUUGAGCUAACCGGUACUAAUGAACCGUGAGGCUUAACCUUACAACGCCAAAGAAGU
rnacentral:rRNA from 1 species